rnacentral:rRNA from 1 species
UACGUAGGGUGCAAGCGUUGUCCGGAAUUAUUGGGCGUAAAGAGCUCGUAGGCGGUUCGUCGCGUCGGCUGUGAAAACCCGGAGCUCAACUCCGGGCCUGCAGUCGAUACGGGCGGACUUGAGUGUUGCAGGGGAGACUGGAAUUCCUGGUGUAGCGGUGAAAUGCGCAGAUAUCAGGAGGAACACCGGUGGCGAAGGCGGGUCUCUGGGCAACUACUGACGCUGAGGAGCGAAGGCUAGGGUAGCAAACAGG